UGUUGGUUUUCACGUGGAUGUUGGACAU
rnacentral:piRNA from 1 species